GCGAGUGAAGCGGCAACAGCUCAAAUUUGAAAGCUGGCUCCGGCCCGCAUUGUAAUUUGCAGAGGAUGCUUCUGGCAAGGUGCCUUCCGAGUUCCCUGGAACGGGACGCCAUAGAGGGUGAGAGCCCCGUAUGGAUGGACACCAAGCCUGUGUGAAGCUCCUUCAACGAGUCGAGUAGUUUGGGAAUGCUGCUCAAAAUGGGAGGUAAAUCUCUUCUAAAGCUAAAUAUUGGCCAGAGACCGAUAGCGCACAAGUAGAGUGAUCGAAAGAUGAAAAGCACCUUGAAAAGGGGGUUAAACAGUACGUGAAAUUGUUGAAAGGGAAGCGCUUGUGACCAGACUUGCGCCGGGCAGCUCAUCAGGGGUUCUCCCCUGUGCACUCUGUCCGGCUCAGGCCAGCAUCGGUUCUCGUGGGAGGAUAAGAACGGUGGGAACGUGGCCCCCCUCCGGGGGGGUGUUAUAGCCCAUCGUACGAUACUCUCGUGGGGACCGAGGUUCGCGCUCCGCAAGGAUGCUGGC
rnacentral:rRNA from 1 species